rnacentral:rRNA from 1 species
AUGUCGGCGGACGCCGUCGAUGGCCCUCCCUCGUCGCAGCAACCCCCACGGCCCACCGUGGAAUCUGUCCUCCAACUCGCCUCCCGCGACCCCUCAGCCGCGGUUCCCCUCCUACCCGCUCUCCCGCCAGACGCCCUCGCCGACCUCCUCUGCUCCCUCUCCGCCGCCUCCCCCCCGAACCACCUCUCCCUCCUCCCAGCCCUGCUCUCCCUCUCCCCAAACCCCUCGGCGGCCUCCGCUGCCUUCUCCUCCCUCCUCAACGCGCCCAGCUGGCCGUCUCCGACCCUCCUCGCCGUCGCCUCCCUCCUGCGCGACCUCCCCGUGUCAUUCCGAUCCCGCGUUCCGGACUGCCUAUCUAAGGUUCUCUCCCUCCUCCCCGGCGCCGAUGUCCAGGACCUCCCCGCGCUCGCCUAUCAGCUCCUACUCCUCGCCUCCAAACCGCUCCACCCCCGGCUCGUCCUCUCCGGCCUCCUCCGCUUCUUCGGCGGCCGCCACGGCGCCCGUGUGCGCGCCCCGCCGUCCAUCGCACGGCAGGUCGCGGGCACCGUGCUGAUGCACGUCGCCUUCGCGGUUAAGCAGGACCCUGCACUGGCAAGGGAGGUGGUAGCCGCCGUCAAGGCCAAUGCCGCGGGUGUGCUCAACGGAUUCGCCGUGGCGGUACUGCUGUCCGUGGCACGCGUGCGGAGGUUCAAUGACAGUGCUGUGGGCGUGCUCCGGGACGCUGCCACUACAUCACGCCGGGAUUAUCGGAUGUCGAGGCGCUGCAAGUGGUUGCCAGAUCCCCUCAAAGAGGAAAGCGUGGAGGCUGCUCAUUGUGUUGAGAAGGCACUACUGAAAGCAGUCGCUGAGAGCAUUGGUGGGAGGGAGCAUGUUGUUCCAAGCAUUGUUCAGGUAGGUUUUCUCCUGUUAGAAGCCUCAAAUGGUGAUCCAGGGGACGAAGAUGGUCCAGACGAAGGGGUUAUGAGCACUGAAGAAAUUGGUGUUAAUAUGCUCAAGUCGUUGUUUGAGACCCAUGAAAUGGCACGCACUGAGAUAAUUGAACAAUGCAAGUUCCGGAUCCUCUCAGCAAAGCCCCAGCAAAGUGCACCAGUUCUUCGGUUGCUUGGAUGCUUAGUUCGGAGUCAUCCGUUUCCAAUGCUAGAAUACGUUGCACACCUGAAGGAGUUACUGGACUAUUUGCCCUUCAUGAAUGACAAGAUAUCGACGGGUCUGAUAAAUUGCAUCUUGCCACUCACUAAGUUCAGCCGUGAUCUCAAGGAUUACAUAAUAUUGGUAGUAAGGAAGGCCAUGUUCAAGCGGGCGGAUGCUGUCCGGAUUGCCGCUACAAAUGCUAUAGUUGAGCUGAUUGUAACAGAGAGCGAGUAUAGGAAAAAUGAAGCUAAUCCUUUUCAAGAUUCAUCAAGUCAACCGAGCUCUAGCCAGCAACCUGAAAUACAUCGAGAGGUUGGUGUGGAACUCUUUCAAGAAUUAAGUGGAUUGCUUCGCAGAUGUCUUUCGCAGCAGGCUAGAGUCAAAACAGUUUUGUACGAGGGUCUCAUUCGAAUUGUUACCUCCGAUCCAGAUGUUGCAGACAAUGUACUUGAUUUCCUGUGGCCCCACUUCUUAAAUUAUUACAUAGAGAAUGCAGAAUGCCCCCUUAAAAUGGAUUCAUGCUUUAAAGUUGAGAAUGCCAAAGUAUGUAUGGUGGAACCUUUGGAUUGCCUACUGUCAUGUGUCUCGUGCAUUCUUCGAGCUCAACAAAAUAGUAAAUGUCACCGACCACGUGAUGCAUAUUGGAAGUGUUUCGGUUUUGCUCCUUCCCAGGAUAAUGAGGUUGGAAGAUCCUCAUCAAGGGACUUGUUCAUGAAAGGAUUAUCAAAUAUCCAAAAGUAUUUGAGGAAAUGCCUCACAGAAGAUCAACGAGGACAGACCCAAGAAGCUGGUUCUGCUUCUUCAUCUUUGGAGAUAGUCCAGUGUCAUAAUGUUUUUAUGCCUGGAAUCGUUGAGGUUUUUGUUGAUUUUGCCGCUUCAAAACUAGCGGAAGCUGCUGAUGAACCAAAGGAGAAGUUAGAAAAAGAAAUACUGGAGCUCGUUGAUGCUCACAGUGGCUUUGAGAGGAAAACAAGCAAGAGCAGGGAGAAAGUUGCACGAAGAAGAGGGGAUUCAAGAGGUGCUACAGAUAGGCAGACUAAUGAACCUAAGGAAAAUUCAAAUGCUUCUUUGCUGAAAUUACAUGAAAAGAGGGGGGAAUUUAUGAAUUCAAGUUUGUAUGAGCUUGUAGUGAUGUGUGCCAGACAGUGCCAUGCUGAUAAAUAUGAUAAAGGCAGCCAGCGUCCUAGCCAAUCUAAAUUGAAUCAGAGCUCCAGUCUAUUAUCCUUUGUACUGAAAGCCUGCCUUGAGAUGUUCAGAUCACUUACAGCUAAGUCAAGUGGUCUGGCCAUUGGAAAUCUAAGAAGAACGCUGUAUGAAGAUGUAAAAAACUUAGCGCAGCCAAUUGUGAAGCUCAUAUGGUGGCUUACGUUGGAUUCAGAGCAAAAGAAUGGUGGAUUCAAGAAGAACACAACCCAAGGGAAGAGAACAGUUGAAAACAAAAAGGAUCAGUUAUAUCUGGCAUUGACAUGCUUUAAAGAACUUUUUAAACUAAGUGUAUCAGAAGACCGUUCUAGUGACAUUAUUGAUCUUCUGAUAUCUUCAGCUCCUUCAAAUAUAGAGGAUAUGAUGGAAGCUGACCAGCUUCAUGACAAUGACACUACUGUGACUGAGAAUCCAGAAAAAAGAGGCGCUCAUGUUUUUCUGAACAUAUUGAAGAUGUUAUAUGCUAGAGCCCUUUCCCAAUCCCUUUCACGUGAAUCCGAGGCUGUAUCUGAACUGAUUUUUGGCAUAUCAAGGAAACUGCAUCCGGAUCAGAGGCAUCUUGUGGGACAUUGGGCUGCAGGCUUAUGUCGAAAGAAUACUGUCCAAAGCCCAACCACCGCACAAGAGAUGGUAAAACUUGCUGUCCAUCUUAUGACAACUCCAGAUGACAUGAUUCUUGUGCAUGAGAUGACAACAGAGUUGAAGAAGUUAAUAGCCUCCGGAGACGAGGAGUCUGUAGAUUCUUCCGAGGCAUUUCUCAUUGUCAAUUGUAAAACAAAAAAUUCACUUGUUGCUGUCUUCCUUCACAUGGUUGAUUCAUCUCUUAUUGAACUGGAAUGGGGUCUUGGUAAGCUUAAGGCAAUGCUCACAUUAGGUUAUGGCUCUUCUAAUGUUGACGAGGACCAGCCAGCAGAUGAAAGGACGCAAAGAAUGUUUCUGGAGGAAGCACUCUACUCAAGAUCAACAUCAGUAGUUCAUGUCCUUUCGUCUUUCACACAUAUGAGCCUUAAGGAUUCUCAGGCAGAGCAGUUUCUGAAACUGACUGCAAAGUUCUACAAGCUCUUGGCUCGCAUCUCAAAGUCUCAGAUUGCACCUAAGGGCUACAAGCAGUUCAUACCAGGUCUCAAAUUUCAGAAAAUGGCGGAAGUAACUUGCAGGAUGCUUACUGCUCCACUUUACAAUUUUGUCUUUACACUUCAAGAGAGUGAGCAACCACACAAAAAAGGAAUCCUCGCGAAGAUUAAAAGGGAGAGCAAAUGCAUUCCUGAUCUUAUUUUCCAGGUGGAGGAUUAUGAGAAGUACCUAAUCCAGUUAAGCAAACUCACAAAGGUGAACCUUUUGAGGCAUGCCAAGCGUAGCGUAGCAAGAGAUUUUCGGAUACAACCAAAGGAGAAAGCUGCAGAAGAAGAACGUGAAGGGGAUUCUCCUCCAGCGACUGCUGCAUCACCUGAGAGUGACCCUGAGGAGGAUGUAGAAGAAGGUCCAGAUGUUCCCGCUGAUGAAAACCUGCAGGCAAGUGCACAACAUGAUGACGCCGUCCAAGAUUCUGAAUCCGACGGAGAAGAGGAGGAAGUAUUAGUACACAGGAAGAGAGCUAAUGCAAACCAAGUUGUCCAAGAUUCUGAAUCCGAUGGAGAAGAGGAGGAAGUAUUAGCACGCAGGAAGAGAGGUAAGACAAGCCAGAUGGUCCAAGAUUCUGAGUCUGAUGGAGAAGAGGAGGAACUGUUAGCACGGAGGAAGAGAGCCAAGACAAACCAAAUCAUCCAAGAUUCUGAAUCUGAUGAAGAUGCUGAAGGCGAGUGA